UCAGAGGGUAGUUUAAUUUGUAGAAUGCCAGCUUUGGGAGUUGGUGGUGGCGGUUGAAUUCCGCCCUUUCUGAA
rnacentral:tRNA from 1 species